ACUCCUACGGGAGGCAGCAGUAGGGAAUCUUCGGCAAUGGGGGGAACCCUGACCGAGCAACGCCGCGUGAGUGAAGAAGGUUUUCGGAUCGUAAAGCUCUGUUGUAAGAGAAGAACGGGUGUGAGAGUGGAAAGUUCACACUGUGACGGUAUCUUACCAGAAAGGGACGGCUAACUACGUGCCAGCAGCCGCGGUAAUACGUAGGUCCCGAGCGUUGUCCGGAUUUAUUGGGCGUAAAGCGAGCGCAGGCGGUUAGAUAAGUCUGAAGUUAAAGGCUGUGGCUUAACCAUAGUAUGCUUUGGAAACUGUUUAACUUGAGUGCAGAAGGGGAGAGUGGAAUUCCAUGUGUAGCGGUGAAAUGCGUAGAUAUAUGGAGGAACACCGGUGGCGAAAGCGGCUCUCUGGUCUGUAACUGACGCUGAGGCUCGAAAGCGUGGGAGCAAACAGGAUUAGAUACCCUGGUAGCGACUGA
rnacentral:rRNA from 1 species